UGUACAUCUUCUGUUUUGGGUUUUUUCCUAUUUUAGACCAAAUAAAAAAAUUAUUAUGAAGUCUGGAUGGUCAUUUAGAAUUUUGGUGAUAUUGAGAGUUGAUGAAGUAGGUGAUGCAGGAGGGGGGGGGGGACGGAGAAGGUGAAGGUACUAAUGGAGAAGGUUAUGAUAUUGGUGAAUUUAAGCCUGAAGGCACUAUCGAAUGUUUUCAAAAAGUCUGAAGGCACUAUUAUUUUGCUAAUUUGCACCACUGAUAUGUAAUAAUUUUCAUUAGAAGCAAUAUGUCGAACUACUGCUGCUUCGUCAGAAUUAGCAGUUAAAACAAUCGAGUUUAUUUAAUUAUGAUUUUCCUUAUUAAUUUGACCAUGAAAAUUGUCAAUUAUUUUCUAAAUAUUGGAUGCUUUAAUUCCUAAGUUGAGCAGUUUGUGUUACCCCUGUUAGUCAUUUUCAUGCUCAUUAUUUAAUUGUGGACAUUACACUAAAUGUGUUCAGUCGGUUUCAUAAUUUCUGAUAAGUUCAUGCCCAUUGAGCGCAUCAACUUAUUAUAUAUAUAUAUAUAUAUAUAUAUAUAUAUAUAUAUAUAUGUAUAUGAUAUAUGUGACUGCUUCAAUCAGGAUUUAUCGAAUGAAGGCAGCAGCAAGGGAAUUUGAGCCUUGGCCUGUAGAGAUACGAUUUUGCAAGGAAGCUAGGCAAUUGCUUCUUUAGGGACUUAUGACAUAGCAUUAGAGAUGGGAAAGAAGGAAGCAUUGCGGUGUACCAUGUGCAGAUAAUUAGGGAGGGUGCAAUACCAAGUGAAGAAAUACACCUUGAGAAGGUAGACUUUCCUUCAUUUAGAUUUUCGACUUCUAUGUGGUUCUUGGUUUUAAGAACAAAAUUUACUUUUGUUUUGAAAUUGCAAUUUGAGUUGGUGUCUCUAUCUGUGUGUUCUGUGAAUUUGUUUUGAGAACAAAAGUUACAUUGGUUUUGAAAUGGCAUGCUUGAUUCAUUCAAAAGUAGGGAAAACAUGGGAUUUUUAGUUGGUUUAUAUAAUCUUUUUUGCAGUCUUAAAAUGGCAUGCUUGAUUCAUUCAAAAGUAGGAAAAAUUGGGAUUUUUGCAGUGAAUUUGUCCUGUUUUGGUUCAAUGGUUUGGGCAA